ACAGGAGAGAGACUUCGAUCAUCACACACACUGACGGGCAUUGGAUCACCACACAUCUAUCAAGCUUUUCCAUGUUGGCAUCUGCAUUUUGCUUCUAGCAAGUAACAGAUGGAUUUACUCCAAAGUACAGUAGAGCUGGACCGGAAUCACAGCCUCACAGACGACUUUGUGCUCUCUCUCCAGACACUCUGUGCAGGAAGAGUUUCCCCACCCCAGGCUGCAACCUGAGAGAUGUGUGCUUGGAUUGCACAAAGUUUGUGGCCGUUCCGGUAUAAAUAAAUA
rnacentral:lncRNA from 1 species